UACGUAGGGUGCAAGCGUUAAUCGGAAUUACUGGGCGUAAAGCGUACGCAGGCGGCUUUGCAAGACAGGUGUGAAAUCCCCGGGCCUAACCUGGGAACUGCAUUUGUGACUGCAUGGCUAGAGUUUGUCAGAGGGGGGUGGAAUUCCACGUGUAGCAGUGAAAUGCGUAGAUAUGUGGAGGAAGACCAGUGGCGAAGGCGGGUCUCUGGACAGUUCCUGACGCUGAGGCACGAAGGCCAGGGGAGCAAACGGG
rnacentral:rRNA from 1 species